CAGUAGCCACGGUAAUACAGAGGGUGCGAGCGUUAAUCGGAUUUACUGGGCGUAAAGCGUGCGUAGGCGGCUUCUUAAGUCGGAUGUGAAAUCCCUGAGCUUAACUUAGGAAUUGCAUUCGAUACUGGGAAGCUAGAGUAUGGGAGAGGAUGGUAGAAUUCCAGGUGUAGCGGUGAAAUGCGUAGAGAUCUGGAGGAAUACCGAUGGCGAAGGCAGCCAUCUGGCCUAAUACUGACGCUGAGGUACGAAAGCAUGGGGAGCAAACAGGAUUAGAGACCCGCGUAGUCCCUGUCUCUUAUAC
rnacentral:rRNA from 1 species